rnacentral:rRNA from 1 species
AUUGAACGCUGGCGGAAUGCUUUACACAUGCAAGUCGAACGGCAGCACGGACUUCGGUCUGGUGGCGAGUGGCGAACGGGUGAGUACUGUAUCGGAACGUGCCCAGUCGUUGGGGAUAACGUAGUGAAAAUUACGCUAAUACCGCAUACGAUCUAUGGAUGAAAGCGGGGGAUCGCAAGACCUCGCGCGAUUGGAGCGGCCGAUAUCAGAUUAGGUAGUUGGUGGGGUAAAGGCCCACCAAGCCAACGAUCUGUAGCUGGUCUGAGAGGACGACCAGCCACACUGGAACUGAGACACGGUCCAGACUCCUACGGGAGGCAGCAGUGGGGAAUUUUGGACAAUGGGCGAAAGCCUGAUCCAGCCAUUCCGCGUGCAGGAUGAAGGCCCUCGGGUUGUAAACUGCUUUUGUACAGAACGAAAAGGUUUCUACUAAUACUAGGAGCUCAUGACGGUACUGUAAGAAUAAGCACCGGCUAACUACGUGCCAGCAGCCGCAGUAA